rnacentral:rRNA from 1 species
CAGAGACCGAUAGCGCACAAGUAGAGUGAUCGAAAGAUGAAAAGCACUUUGGAAAGAGAGUCAAACAGUACGUGAAAUUGUUGAAAGGGAAGCGCUUGCAACCAGACUUGCCCGCGGGUGAUCAACCGGUAUUCUUACCGGUGCACUCGCCCGUGGUCAGGCCAGCAUCGGUUUGGGCGGCUGGAUAAAGUCCACUGGAAUGUAGCUCCUCUCGGGGAGUGUUAUAGCCAGAGGUGCCAUGCAGCCCGCCUGGACCGAGGACCGCGCUUCGGCUAGGAUGCUGGCGUAAUGGUUGUAAGCGACCCGUCUUGAAACACGGACCAAGGAGUCUAACAUCUAUGCGAGUGUUUGGGUGUCAAACCCAUGCGCGUAAUGAAAGUGAACGGAGGUGGGAACCCUCAAGGGUGCACCAUCGACCGAUCCUGAUGUCUUCGGAUGGAUUUGAGUAAGAGCAUAGCUGUUGGGACCCGAAAGAUGGUGAACUAUGCCUGAAUAGGGUGAAGCCAGAGGAAACUCUGGUGGAGGCUCGCAGCGGUUCUGACGUGCAAAUCGAUCGUCAAAUUUGGGUAUAGGGGCGAAAGACUAAUCGAACCAUCUGCUACUAGAUGGCACACAGGGCCGUGUGCCCCGGUAGUCCCCGUGCAGCGGGGGCAACAUCGUCGGUCUCUCCGGGAACGCCACUGGGCUACCCGCAGUGAGCCUCGGGCUCAUCCACAGACUAAGUGGCGGUGGCCGUGCCCUGGAGCACGGUUAGGAUAUAGUCG